GGAAUCUGGAACUGAAUGCUGUCCAUGAACUGACUCGACAACAGCAAAAUACAGUGACCGAGCAAGCUAGAUUUCCUGUCAACUCUCAGUCACAACACCUAGAACUGCCGUGGGUCUUAACUGCGUGGAGUGGAUUAAAGAGCCAGCUUUCACAAUCUGUUCAUGCAGCCAACGACUGAUAUAACACCACCCCUUAUGACCAGAGUCUUUAGAAGAAGAAGGGCAUUUGGACACAGACACAAGAAAGGACGCUUGUGAGACUUGUGUGAGGUAUGUCCUACAAGCUAAGGGAUGUCUAGGUCUGCCAUAACUGAAAGAGGCAAGGAGAAUCCUUUCCUGGAGGCUGUGGAAGAAUCAGGGCCCUGCCUUCUUUGUACUUUGUACGUCUAAUCUCCAAAUCUUGAGAGUAUACAAGUCAGUGGUACUUUGCAAGUGUUGGGAAUAUAUGACUGCAUACAGUAAGUACAGUUUUCAAGGGACAAGGAUUUGGCACAAGUGCGCUUUUGUGUUCUUGUACCCACAGAUGUAGCUCUGUUGAAGGAAAGAUGUGCCGUUUGUUGGCGAAAUCUUGUAAACAAAAUACUUCCAAGAUAGUGGAGGAGAGAAAGAGGCCGUGUCUCUUUCUUUGAUCGUGAUCUUGACUGAGGAACCUAUGACCAAGCAUUGUACAAAACAUGCGAGUGUUCUC
rnacentral:lncRNA from 1 species